rnacentral:rRNA from 1 species
UUAAGCGACUAAGCGUACACGGUGGAUGCCCUGGCAGUCAGAGGCGAUGAAGGACGUGCUAAUCUGCGAAAAGCGUCGGUAAGGUGAUAUGAACCGUUAUAACCGGCGAUGUCCGAAUGGGGAAACCCAGUGCAAUUCGUUGCACUAUCGUUAACUGAAUACAUAGGUUAACGAGGCGAACCGGGGGAACUGAAACAUCUAAGUACCCCGAGGAAAAGAAAUCAACCGAGAUUCCCCCAGUAGCGGCGAGCGAACGGGGAGCAGCCCAGAGUCUGAAUCAGCUUGUGUGUUAGUGGAACGGUCUGGAAAGUCCGACGGUACAGGGUGAUAGUCCCGUACACCAAAAUGCACAGGNUGUGAACUCGAAGAGUAGGGCGGGACACGUGGUAUCCUGUCUGAAUAUGGGGGGACCAUCCUCCAAGGCUAAAUACUCCUGACUGACCGAUAGUGAACCAGUACCGUGAGGGAAAGGCGAAAAGAACCCCGGCGAGGGGAGUGAAAAAGAACCUGAAACCGUGUACGUACAAGCAGUGGGAGCACCUUCGGGUGUGACUGCGUACCUUUUGUAUAAUGGGUCAGCGACUUAUAUUCUGUAGCAAGGUUAACCGUAUAGGGGAGCCGCAGGGAAACCGAGUCUUAACUGGGCGUUAAGUUGCAGGGUAUAGACCCGAAACCCGGUGAUCUAGCCAUGGGCAGGUUGAAGGUUGGGUAACACUAACUGGAGGACCGAACCGACUAAUGUUGAAAAAUUAGCGGAUGACUUGUGGCUGGGGGUGAAAGGCCAAUCAAACCGGGAGAUAGCUGGUUCUCCCCGAAAGCUAUUUAGGUAGCGCCUCGUGAAUUCAUCUUCGGGGGUAGAGCACUGUUUCGGCUAGGGGGUCAUCCCGACUUACCAACCCGAUGCAAACUACGAAUACCGAAGAAUGUUAUCACGGGAGACACACGGCGGGUGCUAACGUCCGUCGUGAAGAGGGAAACAACCCAGACCGCCAGCUAAGGUCCCAAAGUCAUGGUUAAGUGGGAAACGAUGUGGGAAGGCACAGACAGCCAGGAUGUUGGCUUAGAAGCAGCCAUCAUUUAAAGAAAGCGUAAUAGCUCACUGGUCGAGUCGGCCUGCGCGGAAGAUGUAACGGGGCUAAACCAUGCACCGAAGCUGCGGCAGCGACACUAUGUGUUGUUGGGUAGGGGAGCGUUCUGUAAGCCUGCGAAGGUGACCUGUGAGGGUUGCUGGAGGUAUCAGAAGUGCGAAUGCUGACAUAAGUAACGAUAAAGCGGGUGAAAAGCCCGCUCGCCGGAAGACCAAGGGUUCCUGUCCAACGUUAAUCGGGGCAGGGUGAGUCGACCCCUAAGGCGAGGCCGAAAGGCGUAGUCGAUGGGAAACAGGUUAAUAUUCCUGUACUUGGUGUUACUGCGAAGGGGGGACGGAGAAGGCUAUGUUAGCCGGGCGACGGUUGUCCCGGUUUAAGCAUGUAGGCUGAUUGUCCAGGCAAAUCCGGAUAAUCAAGGCUGAGGUGUGAUGACGAGGCACUACGGUGCUGAAGUAACAAAUGCCCUGCUUCCAGGAAAAGCCUCUAAGCAUCAGGUAACAUUAAAUCGUACCCCAAACCGACACAGGUGGUCAGGUAGAGAAUACCAAGGCGCUUGAGAGAACUCGGGUGAAGGAACUAGGCAAAAUGGUGCCGUAACUUCGGGAGAAGGCACGCUGGUGUGUAGGUGAAGUCCCUGCGGAUGGAGCUGAGACCAGUCGAAGAUACCAGCUGGCUGCAACUGUUUAUUAAAAACACAGCACUGUGCAAACACGAAAGUGGACGUAUACGGUGUGACGCCUGCCCGGUGCCGGAAGGUUAAUUGAUGGGGUUAUCCGUAAGGAGAAGCUCUUGAUCGAAGCCCCGGUAAACGGCGGCCGUAACUAUAACGGUCCUAAGGUAGCGAAAUUCCUUGUCGGGUAAGUUCCGACCUGCACGAAUGGCGUAAUGAUGGCCAGGCUGUCUCCACCCGAGACUCAGUGAAAUUGAACUCGCUGUGAAGAUGCAGUGUACCCGCGGCAAGACGGAAAGACCCCGUGAACCUUUACUAUAGCUUGACACUGAACAUUGAGCCUUGAUGUGUAGGAUAGGUGGGAGGCUUUGAAGCGUGGACGCCAGUCUGCGUGGAGCCAACCUUGAAAUACCACCCUUUAAUGUUUGAUGUUCUAACGUUGGCCCCUUANCGGGGUUGCGGACAGUGUCUGGUGGGUAGUUUGACUGGGGCGGUCUCCUCCCAAAGCGUAACGGAGGAGCACGAAGGUUAGCUAAUCCUGGUCGGACAUCAGGAGGUUAGUGCAAUGGCAUAAGCUAGCUUGACUGCGAGCGUGACGGCGCGAGCAGGUGCGAAAGCAGGUCAUAGUGAUCCGGUGGUUCUGAAUGGAAGGGCCAUCGCUCAACGGAUAAAAGGUACUCCGGGGAUAACAGGCUGAUACCGCCCAAGAGUUCAUAUCGACGGCGGUGUUUGGCACCUCGAUGUCGGCUCAUCACAUCCUGGGGCUGAAGUAGGUCCCAAGGGUAUGGCUGUUCGCCAUUUAAAGUGGUACGCGAGCUGGGUUUAGAACGUCGUGAGACAGUUCGGUCCCUAUCUGCCGUGGGCGCUGGAGAAUUGAGGGGGGCUGCUCCUAGUACGAGAGGACCGGAGUGGACGCAUCACUGGUGUUCGGGUUGUCAUGCCAAUGGCACUGCCCGGUAGCUAAAUGCGGAAGAGAUAAGUGCUGAAAGCAUCUAAGCACGAAACUUGCCCCGAGAUGAGUUCUCCCUGAGACUUUAAGUCUCCUGAAGGAACGUUAAAGACGAUGACGUUGAUAGGCCGGGUGUGUAAGCGCAGCGAUGCGUUGAGCUAACCGGUACUAAUGAACCGUGAGGCUUAACCUU